CAUGUUCAAAGAUCUCGCAUCCGGCCUCCACCUGUGCGCUGAUCUCCACCUCGAGGGUCCCUGGGAGACAGACGAAGCGUCUGAAUGCGCGUCGCUCCGUCGACGAGGACAUGAAGAGUGGAGAGAGCAGCGACACGGAUUCGCAGCCACCCACAAGCCGCAAGUCACGCGGUAGAGUGUAUGUACAGCUGAGAGCAGGUCGUCUGCAGUUGGCGAGUCGAGGAGCGGCGAGGCAGGCGGAGAGAGCAGCAAAAAGUCCAAGAGUGUGUCGCGGAAGACGACGACGCCGUCAGCCGCUGGGACACAGGCAGUUCCACGGAAUAUGCAUGCACGAGAAAGCAAGCGCACACAAGGGAGAGAGGACGUAAAACAAACAUUCGGGGCGAAAAGGACAGAGAAAAAGCGAACGGAGAAAGUCGCCGUAACAAAUAGAGAAGGAAACUUGAAAACAUCCACUUGUCGACGAAAGCACAACCGAGAGGCUACAACGAGUGACACGCAGACGGAUAACCGCGGCGGAAGACAGAGAACGCGAACGUGGAGGAGAAAAGACAAACGUAUCUGGCAGACCAUCUUACAAAUCUGUGACAGACAAACACCUGUUAAAUUUACAGUCGUCGCUCUUCAGGGACAGAGGCCACAAAAUUUAAACUGCUGAACUUCUACGCGUGCUGGUGAUCUACGACAACUGACAAAAACACCUACAAAAGCAGACAUGGAAGUAUUGCUGCAC
rnacentral:lncRNA from 1 species